UACGUAGGGUGCGAGCGUUGCCCGGAUUUAUUGGGCGUAAAGGGCGCGCAGGCGGCCACGCGCGUCCGUUGUGAAAUCGCUCGGCUCAACUGGGCGAGGUCAGCGGAUACGGCGUGGCUGGAGCAAGCUAGGGGGCAAUGGAAUUCCCGGUGUAGUGGUGGAAUGCGUAGAUAUCGGGAGGAACACCAGUGGCGAAGGCGACUACCUGGCCUGUUCUUGACGCUGAGGCGCGAAAGCUAGGGGAGCAAACGGG
rnacentral:rRNA from 1 species